rnacentral:lncRNA from 1 species
CGUCACCUAAAUUAAAAUUAUAUAGCAUUAUUCUCAAUAAAAAAAAAUGCAAAGCCUAUUGAAAAUGAUUUUAAUUUGCAUGGACAGCUGGAAAUUGGUUGGAUGCAUUUACCCUCACCUAGCCAAGUCCACCGACACCAUUAAUAACAUGUCAAGGGCAAUUUUGGAAAAUGGGGUGAAUUAUACAUGUAGCACUCCAUAAAAGGGUUAAAAGAAUGGUAGCUACCUUGGUGAGAAUGAUGCAACAAUUUCCUACGUGGACACCAGAAAUUCUAAAAAUUGGAUAAGAAAAUGUGCAAAUAAUGAAGGCCAGCUAGACGCUAUCCUCAACCUUCUUUUUCUAAAUUCAGAUACAUAUCGAAAAAAAUAAAAAUAAGUCGCAAAC